rnacentral:rRNA from 1 species
GUGGGGAAUUUUGGACAAUGGGCGCAAGCCUGAUCCAGCAAUGCCGCGUGCAGGAAGAAGGCCUUCGGGUUGUAAACUGCUUUUGUACGGAACGAAACGGUCCUGGCUAAUAUCCGGGGCUAAUGACGGUACCGUAAGAAUAAGCACCGGCUAACUACGUGCCAGCAGCCGCGGUAAUACGUAGGGUGCAAGCGUUAAUCGGAAUUACUGGGCGUAAAGCGUGCGCAGGCGGUGCUGUAAGACAGGCGUGAAAUCCCCGGGCUUAACCUGGGAAUUGCGCUUGUGACUGCAAGGCUGGAGUGCGGCAGAGGGGGAUGGAAUUCCGCGUGUAGCAGUGAAAUGCGUAGAUAUGCGGAGGAACACCGAUGGCGAAGGCAAUCCCCUGGGCCUGCACUGACGCUCAUGCACGAAAGCGUGGGGAGCAAACAGGAUUAGAAACCCUAGUAGUCC